rnacentral:lncRNA from 1 species
UACAUUUUGCAUAAUUGAUCUAUUUCACAACAAAUCAAGAACAUACACAGCUUAAUAGGUUACAUUAAUCAUAGUUUUAAUAAAUCACAUGUACUUUGUAUACAAAUCCGUCUAAUUUGCAUACAACAAAGCAGGAAGAGCACAUCUAAUAACACAUAAGUUCGUCAACUACAUAUGAAAAACAUGACCUCAUUUGUUACUCAAUUACAGCUUGAAUUGGCUUCUUUUCCAGAUUAGCCUGCACCAAAAAGACUCAUCAAUCUGUUAAAGAAAGGACUCGUUGAGGUUGUACAUUUUAUGUCAAAUGUCAAUUGCAAAAGUACGAUUGCAAGAACUAGGACCAUUGAUCUGUGAUAUAGUAAGAACCUAUUUGGCAUCUUAGUUUCUCAAAUUAACUUGGCCAAACCUUACCUCCAUCCCUCUAAAUCCAUCACAUAAUAACUAGGUGAAACUAUAAGUCGCAGAAUUGUACACAAAGUUGACACCAAAUUUAAUUGAUGGAGCUGCAAACCAUAUAUGUGGAACAUCAUUGCAGCAAACUUGCUCAUAAGUUUUAAUAGUAUGUACCAGAAACAGAUGUCCUUCUCUAUAGACAAAAGCUUCUGUACAAAACAGUACCCAGAUUUAAGAAGCAUGGAGGCUACUUUUUGAAAAGAAAAACAUGAAGGAACAAUCUUAUUAUAAUUACUUCUCUUUGAAGUAUUGUCAUUAGUUAAAAAAAUCAACAAAAUAGCUUUUGCAGCUUAGUAUAGUAUGAAAAAUACUAGGGGGGCAAGGCCACGAGCUGGGAGAUGACAUUCGCCAGAGGCAAUGGACAACUAAAUUCAACAUCAGACCACUUGUUGAGUGUUGUGUUCCUGGUCUCCAUUCCAACAUUUCAAAACAAAUUAGUUUUCAAACGGGUACUCAAAAUCAUAACCGUCUUUAUGUGUGAUGGCUGGUUGACAUACAACUAAAACAAUAUAUUUUUAGCAGCUAGUUUAAAACUUGUACCAAUUGAUUAAUUUCCAAGCACGAAACUAAAAGAACACACGGCAAUCAAUUCAUGCACUUGGCAAUUAAGCAAAAAAUCAUACCUCCACCCAGCAGCUCAAGGCCAACUCAACAAACACACAAAGCAAUCUUAAUUCUGUUGUCGCCCUCUUAUCCUUUGCAAAGGCUAUUUUCUGUCUGUGAAGAUAUGUAUAAAGACAGUGCUCAUUACAUAAUCUAAUUAGAGAUAAGUAGAGUGUAGGUGGUAAUAUUACAUGUAUUUCAACGGAAAACAGAACAAAUGCUAAUCACACCAUGUAUUCCGCUCAAUCUUAGUGUAGUAAAGAAUUCAGAAUUUAUGGAAACAUAUGGCUGUCUUCAAACUAAUUUAACAAAUUAAGGCAGCAAUAAAUGGUUGCAGUCCCUCAAAUGUGGUAAUAGCGGUUUCACCCAAGAUGGUUCUGCGAUGGGAGAACAUAAAUAAAAUAAUUGUUUUUCUACAUAAGGCUACUACAAUCAGUAGAUUACAUGCAUAACAAAUGAGGACAGAUUGAUGAUAUGACGUGAGCACACAACUUUACCAAGCUUAUCGGCAUAACACUAAAUUAUUUGAUUUUGUAACAGUAGGGAAUGGUACCUCUUCAUCUGGAGGAAUAAUGAUACAUUUUAAUGCCACCAGGUGAUAAACUCAACUUCUUGUUUGCAACCUCUCUGCUGUGCCAAUGAUAUUCCUUGAACUUGCAAUGUAACUGCCGAAUAAGUCAAAAAUACUAACGUAAUGAAAGGUCAAAAGGUAUGAUAGACAAAAAUCCCAAGGAACUAUAAGGAUAAGUACCAUUAAGACUGAACCAACAAAGAAAACACAAGCACAAGACAGAUCAAAUGAUCCUGAGCAUACUAAAUACAGAAUGGCAUUGUAAUGUAUAGGAUAAAACAUGGUAGAAUAUCACAUCAAUAUAAGGAGCAUCAUUGCUGCCUAAGAGAAAGAAAAAUAUAAAUUAAAGAGCUACCCUACUGAAUAUCACAUUAACAUAAAGGGCGACAAACAAACAGCUUCAUAUCUAACUGUAUCUGGUCUUAUCAUGAUAACAUAAUAAAGAAACAGAAACGACCGAGUGAUUAUAAACCCUGUUUUGGAGCUUCACAUCUAACUGUAUCUGUACUUAAGCAUGACAACCUGAUGAUAUUAACAAUGUCUUCCCCAGAUUCAGUUUCUUCCC